ensembl:lncRNA
AUCUCAUCUGAAGAUCUCUCUGUAUGACAGAGCCUCACAGGCAUCCUGAAGAGCUUGCUGUUGGUUGGACUUCUCAGCUUGUUGCCCAUCCUUCCCAACACCAGAUGUUAGGAAACAUGUGACAGCAGCAUGGUUUGGACUGAAUGUAGCAGCAUGGCUCAAUCAGUCAAUAAGGAAAGGAAGAACAAACACUCAUCAAAUUCAAUGUUGAUAUGGAUAUCUUUACUUGAAAUGGUGGUGAUGCUGCUGGAAUCUGCUGAGAAGCAACGCCUUGAGACUGACUCCUCCACACCUGUGGAGUCUCAGGGCCAACCAUUGCCCAUGCUGGUGAGCUUUGGGGAGGAGCAGGUCAGACAGAGCCACAGCACUCUAUUACAGAAGCCUUGUGACCAAGACAGAUGCCAGUAGCUGGAAACUUGGCAAACUAAAUAAAAAAGAAAAAAAAGUGGAACUCUGUUCAUCUCUCAUGUACUGAUUGCUCCCUCGUGUGACACUUCUAAAUAGCUGAAGGUGUCUCAGCAGAAUGUGAGAGCCCAGUGACUGUGUUCAGUGCUUCAGUGUUUGAUUCAGCCAUUCCCAGCACAGCGGACUGCAGGACUGGAGAUGCCUUAUGGAAAAGGAUUCCCACCUCAUGACCAGCUGCAGUGAUGAAACCCUCCUGGGACACUCAGGGCAGACCGGGAUGCUUUCAGCAAGAAGCAAUGCUCAUCUGUUGUGCUCACGUUUAUAUUCUGUGAUGCCACCGCUGAUUACACUGAAGAUAUUCUGACUGCUGUCAGUGGAGUGAGAGGUGGACUACGCCUGAAUGCUUGGAAGGACAGUUAAAUGUGAUCUCAAAUCAAAUUCUUAAGGACUUUAUGAGUUCCUUUUAUUUGGGGGCACGUAACUAAAGGAGAUGUUCAGCAUGU